UUCACUUCUUGGCCUUUUGGUUAAGAUCAGGUGUAAUAUCUGUUCUUAUCACAUUAAUAUCUGAUAUUAAUAUUCAUCUGAGGACAAUAUAUUAAACAGAGUUUUGGAGCACAGUGAUAGAAUAGGAGGUUUAUCCAUCAACUCCAUAUAUCGACCUGUUAUUGUAGUUCUUCCAGAAAUGGUGCACUCUUC